UGUGUUAAAGAUCUAGAGAAAUUUAAUGUAGCUCUCUUGGGGAAGUGGAGGUGGAGGUUGUAUCAUGACCAAUACAGCACAUGGAAUCAGGUGAUCCGGGGUAAGUAUUGCGAGGAUCAUUCGAGUAAGCUUAUGUGCAUUCCAUCUAAAGCUUCUCCUUAGUGGAAGGAUGUGUGGAACAUAUCUUUUGAGGAUUCAGAAGGUUGUUGGUUCAAUAAAGGAGUGAAUAAGGUCAUUGGCAAAGGAGAUAAUGAUCUCUUCUAGAAAGAUGUACCUAUUAAAAUGAUGUUUCCUAAAAUGUUUCAUUUAACAAUUCAAAAGAGUUCUUUGGUGAAUGAUAUGGGUGUGUAGCAGAAUGGUUGUUGGAAAUGGACUCUAAAAUGGAGAAAGUUCUAAGUGAAAGGGAGAAGGUUCAAUUAGUAUCUUUGUUACAGGUUUUACAUUCAGCUGCUCUUGUUUAGAGCUCUCAUGAUAAGUGGAAGUGGGGUUUGGAGGUUGAUGGGAAUUAUUCUGUGAAAUCUGCUUACAGAGGCCCUUGUUGAUUCGUUGCUUGAUGAUGCUGAUGAGGUUUAUGCACUUCUCUGGUCCAAUCUAGUCCCGUCUAAUGUAUGUGCUUUUGUAUGGAAGUUGUUUUUUGAUAGAAUUCCCUCACGAAUAAAUUUGCAAAAGAGGAUGAUCAUUCCUAUAGAUGGAGAGGUUAGUUGUCCAUUGUGCGGUUCAGCAGAGGAGUCGACAUAUCACUUGCUCUUUAAUUGUCAGUUUGCUGUGCAGAUUUGGUAUUAUUGCUAUAAUUGGUUGGAUAUUGCUAUUGUCCUUCAUUGCAGUCGUCAUGCGCACUUUCAGCAGCAUGACAAUUACUGCUUUACUGCAAAACAUAAUAGAUUGUGGAUGGUUGUUUGGUUUGCAGCGUCCUGGUCGAUUUGGCUUGGGAGAAAUAACUUGAUAUUCAGGGAUUCAGCUCUGGAGGUGGACAAAGUUUUGGAACUUAUUCAGAUAAGGUCGUGGUCUUGGUUGGUUGCAAGAAGCAGGAAUUUUCGUUAUUCUUUGGCAUAAUGGGUAUUAAAUCCAUUGGUUUGUAUUAAAGAUGGUGGUUAUGGCGUUGAAAGGUUCUUAUCUGGUGCUUGCAUUAUGUUCUUCGUGUGGGUUCGCUUGGAAGGUAUCUUUUUGAAUUGUCUAUAAGGUAUAUUAUUUGUGGGAUAGUUAGUGGAAUUUUUCCCUUUUCUUUUUGGUAUGGUAUUGGUGUGGUUUCGUGGGAAUGUCUUGCUUAUAAAUUGGUAGAGGAGGAGUGACUUUCUUGUUGCAUAAUGGUCAUGAUAACCACUGUUACAACAUGCUUAUGUUUUAAUCUGUUGAGAAGCAUAGGAUGGCUACUAGCUCUUUUUAGAGAUUAAUCUAUUUGGACCUGUAAUUUGCAAUCUUGUCUACUGGUGGGGCUUUUGGUUUUGUAGAUAUUUUCUGGCAAUUUUGGUAGGGACGUUGGAUCAUGUGAGGGGUUGUUAGUUUUUUUGUUCUGAAUUCAUUGGCUUUCAUGGUCUUUCCUUCAUGGGAGUGGUGGAUAAUGUUUAGUAGCAUAAGGGCUUCAAGAUGUUGUAAGUUUAUGAUGUCUUUAGCUUUAUUCUUUCUCUCUUUCUACUUGUAUUGGGUUGAAGUAUCCUUGUACUUCAUUUCAAUAUAUAUAUAUAUAUAUCAUGGCUUAUAAAAAAGCCAACACCUUUGCUUUGUUACAUACUAAGAUUGAGCUCGACCUGUGCGAUGUACGGGUACUAUGCAAAAAAAAAUGACCGGUUCUCAUGACAAGUUCAUAAGAUAUAAAUGCAGCUCUCAUCACCGGUUCUUUAUAAAAGAAAAAGAUGCAGUGAGAUAUUUGAAAGAAUCAAUGGAUGUUGGUUACGUGUUUGUAUGCUUCAUUGAUGCACGAGGCUUGAUAUAGGAAUUGUACCAUAUUGACCUCUUGGUCUUGGCUUUUUUUAUGGCAAAGGUGUUAUGGGAAGUGUGUCUGCAAUUAGCUCUUCAAUAUAGCAUUUUAGCACUUUCUGAUUUGCGACAUGCCGUGAAAGUUUUAGAAAUGAUGAAUUCUUCAUCUCUAAUUAACUAUUAGCCCAGAAAUUAUGGGAGACUGUGAGUAGUCCUGGUUUGAACUACUUAUGCUAUUUUUAUGACUAAACCGUGUUGUUUACUAGUUAUAUUUUUAUAACUAAACUGAUAUACCAUGUUUGUUUUGGUGCUUACUAAGCUUGAAUACAUGUUCUCUUUCUUUCCCUUCUCCCUUUGGUUGUUUACUCUUGAGUUUUGUCCAGACCAUGUUUGUUUUGGUGCUUAUUGAGUUGAGAGAUGACUUGGGUAGAGGUUUAGCUGAUACAAACUGAAUUGGAUAAAUAUUAGUUUUUGUGAUUAAAAUGUUAAAAAUGGUUUAAUUUAAAACGGUUGCAUUUAGUUUCUAGGAUUGAUUAAAGGAUGACAUGGACGUUUGAGUCAUGCUUUGUGAUUAUUGCAAGUUAGAAAAAUUUAAGAUAUAUUUUGUGUUUUUAUUAUAUUCAUCUUCUUCGUGAAGGUGUUUGUCUUCAGUUGUGUGCUUGCAACUUGCAAAAAAGAGGUUUUCUGUCAAGAUUUCCUUGUACAUCUGCGUUUUCACCGCCGAUGACUACCGUCAUCUCAGUCAUGUUCGCACCGUUGAUUCUUUUUGAUAUCGUCUUCAGGGGUCCACGACAAAGCCAAACAGAUAUGUAGUGCUCAUGGACGAGAACCACUUUAGCAAUGAUGAAAUAGAAGAGAUAACUAGAGGGUUGUGUGAGAAGGGUACGGGGGCAAAGACAUCUUUAGCCGCGCCCAUCUAUUACGCUCAUUGUGGAGCGUCCAAGGGCAGAAAAUACACAUUGGCGAAUGGUGGAGUCCUUCCAUCUAUUUUUGUGAUGUUUAUGGCAAUCUAUCCUUGUUAUAUCUCAUUUUUUCAUUAGCAAUGGUAAAUCAUUAUGGGAAAGUUCAAUGCCUCGAGAUAAUGCUUGAGGCGUUUUGCUUAAAAUGUAAAACGUGUCGUUUUGAAGUAAAUACAAUUUUAAGUUCAUCUUC